AAGUAAUCUAUUCUCUCUCCCGCAGCAAAUCUCUCAAGCUCUCAUGUCUCUCUUCAUGUUCUGAUGGGAAAGAGAUCCAUGUCUUUAUCAUAUUGGAGGAAGGAAGUUGGAGAUGGACCCCUCUCUCAAUUUCACGUCUCUCUCCUCAAACUCUCUUCUCUCUCUACCUCUCCACAUGGAAAUAGAUCCGUGCCUCUCCCAAAUUGCAAGAAGGAAGUGGGGCAUGGAUCUGCUGCACUGUCGGAGCUAAUCAC
rnacentral:lncRNA from 1 species